UUUUAAUAAAAUGUUAAAAGGUGGAAUAUCUUUUAAAUGUUAACAUUUUAUAAAGAGAGAAUUUAAGAAAACAAUUUAUUGAAUAUAAAAUGAUUGCAGAACAUAAAAAGAUUUUCAACACAUUAAAGUAUUUUUCAUUAAAAUAAGAGGAAAAAUCAUGUUGAGUGGUACUUAAAUUUAAAAUUGAAUAGUGAUAUCAAAAAACUUUCCAAAAAGGGGGAAAUAAUUCACCCUUCAUUAUGCAGCAAGAUAGUUUCCUGUUCAUCUAACCUAAACAUUUACAGUAACUGAUUUAUUCACCGUUGAAAAUCACAUCUAUUGCAGUUCAGAUAAUUUCUCUGCAUUAGGAAAAUGAAUAAAUUAAAAGUGUGCUUCAGCAAUUUAGUCCUCUUAGCAGAUAUUCUGCAAGCUUGGUAGAAGAUGUCAAAACCUGCUGAUAUCUAACAGAGUCAACUCCAAGUUUGUGUAUCCCAGUCCAUUCUACCUUUCCAUCAGGCAGUACAUGUGGAAAUAGAAAAGCAGCUCUCUAAUUAAUCAAAGUCAGAUGUGCCUGAACGCCUGGAGUUGCUGCUGAUCCUUGUCCCAGCUUCUCCCAUGUUCUCGCUCUAUGUUUUUACCUUGAAAACUUCUGCUCUGAGCUGGGAAUGCCUGAAGGGCUUGCACGCGUGCUAAGACGUCAGCAAAGUGAAUGCCUAUUCAAGGAAUAAUAAAGAUUUCUACAAAAGCUGAGAAAUACCUUACCUGAAGUUUCUGAAACUAAAAUUUAUGAAUGGCUGGUGAGAAGAUUGCAUGUCAAGAUUGCAUGAACUGUUUUAAUCCUAGAGAAGUUAUAUCUUAUUCAAAUAUUUCCAGGAAGAUUGUCUUAGGGUAAUAGCUUGUACACAUACACAUUUUAAAAGAAUUUAAACUUAGGUUUGUCUUGUGCAUAUGAACACAUGCGGGUUUAUAUCUUGUCCACAAUUAUCCUUCAAGAUAAUAAAAAGAAAAAUAGUGGCCCUAACUCUGAAUAAUAUUACAAACGGGAACAAGCAUAAAUGUAGUUUUUAAGCUAGUGAUGAAGGCAAAAAUACUUCUAGUUACCUCUCCACAAAAGUCUAGCUGUACAUUUUUUCACUUUGCCACUAUAAAGCUAUUUCUUUAAGAAUUCAGAAUGAAAUGCUACUAAAUAUUUGGAAGAUGUUAAGAAGGUGGACAGAAUCUGACUGAUAGCACGUAGAACAGUGAACAUUUUAUUUUUUAGAAAAUGAAUGUUUCAAAGUCGUCUGCCUACAUUAAAUAUUUUUUUCAUACUUUUCAAGGCAACUUUGCAUUUCUGAGCUUUUCUUUUUCUUGAAAUGCCUUCUAUUUUUAAGUGGUAUUCAUUUUAAUAAGCACUUUUAUCAAGAAAAAAAUUACUGAAAAAAAUGAGAGAUUAUGAAAGAAUUCCUUAUAAAACGAUGAAGGUCAAGUUACAAAAAAACAAAGCAGCAUUUAUUAGACCAUGACCCAGUUAAUUAAAAUAGAGUGCAUAUUUUCCUUCCUUUGAUUCACAGAAUCUCAUAUGUGUUUGUGGACCUGUGUGAGGAUGUAAAAUGGUCCCUGGUGAACCAGAAGUCCCAUUUCCUCAUCAAACUUAUUAGUAGUUGUAUUGACCAGCAUGAAAAUAGAUUCUGCAUAUGAAAUCAAAAGAAUGAGAAAAUAUGAAGAACAUCUCAUAGGGAAUAAAUUUCAAGAGAAUAGUGAUUUUGUAAGAAUAAGAGCUAAUACUUAUUAAGUGUCAUUAACUGAUUAAGCACUGUGGUAAGUACUUUCUGUGUAUUAACUCAUUUAAUUGUCAUAACAAUCCUAAUUAUUAUCAUUCUCAUUUUAUAGAUGAAGAAGCUGAGAUGCAGAGAGGGGAAGAAAUGUUCUGUUUAACUGCUCGCAAUGGGUAGAGUUGGUAAUUGAACCCGGACAGUCUGGCUCCAGAGUUUGCUCUAAUUGCUUCUCUGAUUCUCAAACUUGAGAGUGUAUCAGAAUCCCUAGGAGGGUUCAUUAGAAAACAGAUUUCUGGGUCCCAAUUUCCGAGAUCCUCAUUUAGUAUGUCUGGGGAGAGGACCAAAUUUUCCAUUUCUAGGGAAGUCCCCAGGUAAUUCCGAUGCUGCGGGUCCAAGGACCACACUUUGGGAGCCACUGCAUUACACUAUACUGCCUGUUAGGAAUUGCACUUGAUCAAGCCUGAUUGUAGACAAUUUUAGGUUCUAUAAAAUUUUGCUCUAUGAUUCAAAUGUUUACUUUGGUCAAAGCAAAUAAUAGAUCAACUUGCAGAAAUUGUAGGUUACAAUUAAGCUGACCAUUAGAAAAGGCACAUCAGCACAAAUCCACUCAUUAAAUAAUCAUUUAAUUGCCAAUCAUGGGUUUUGAGGCUUGAAAUACAAUGAUGGGCAAUAUAUAUUGACCUUGCUCCCAAGAGCUUCACUUUAGGAAGACAUGUAAAUAAUAAUUCGAAUAUAGUGUCAUGAGGGCUGCUAUGGAUGGGUAAAGGGGGUGGAGAUAGAAAGGAUCAGAAAAUCUUCCACAGAGGAGAGUUUAUGAAUUGUCUUAAAGUGUGAAUUGAAGUUAGCACUGAUAUAUGUCUCAUGAACAUGGCAUGGGCAAAGUUAUGGAGAUGAGAAAAGGUACAUUGAGUAUUGGAAAUUAUUAAGAAUUUGGUUGGCUGCAGCCCAGGAUUUGAGCAAUGCAUGGGAGGCUGAAUAAAAGAAGAUUAAUAUGAUUACAAAGAAAAUUAUUAAAGCAUGAUGACUUCUUGGAGUUUGGAUGAGAAGUGAGUGAGAGGUUUUUAAGCGAGAGAUAUGAUCAGUGAUGAUUUCUAAAUAGGUAACUGCUAAAUGCAGAGUUAACAGCAUUAACCUCGUAGUUGUUUGGAUAACAGUUUAGAAAAAAGGAUCUUAGCGGCAAGGAGACCAGUCCAGGCAGCAAAUGACAUAGGAAAUGGUCUAAAAUAUUGGCUAUGGGGUUGAAUUGAAAAAGGAAGAUUAGAUAAAUAAAUAAAUCAUACUUGUAUGGUUUUGGUUUAAGUACUUUACAUAUUAUAUUAAUAACUCAUAAUUAAUCCUCACAAGAAGGCUGGUACUAUAAUUUUCUUUUUAUAAAGAAACUAAAGCAGAGAAAGUUCAUUUACUGGAGGUCACACUGCUUGUCAGUGGUAGAGCCAGGAUUUGAACUCAGGUAUUUGGCCCCAGAGUUCACUUUCACAGGCAGGCCUGGUAAGAGAUUGCAUGUUGAAAGUAAGUAAAAAAAGGAGGUUUUAAAGGUUUCCUGGCUGGAAACAGUGGCUCAUGCCUAUAAUCCCAGCACUUUGGGAGGUUGAGGUUGGUGGAUCACCUGAGGUCAGGAGUUUGAGACCAGCCUGACCAACAUGGUGAAAACCCAUCUCUACUAAAAAUACAAAAUUAGCCAGGCAUGGCGGCACAUGCCUGUAAUCCCAGCUACUGGGGAGGCUGUGGCAGGAGAAUCACUUGAACCCAGGGGGCAGAGGUUGCAGUGAGCCAAGAUCGCGCUACCGCACUCCCACCUGGGUAGCAAAAGCGAAACUCCAUCUCAUAAAAAUAGAAGGGUUCCUACACCAAACACAUAUUUAAGCUAGUGAAUAUGCAUACACUAUCCAGUAGAUACGGCUUAGGUAACUAAUCCAUUCAAGUGAUUAUCUAGUGGAAUGUAUAGGAGACCAGACAUCCCUUUCAGCAAGUUUCCUUUAUUAUGAUUCUCUAAGGCUGGAGUGAACACAGUGCCCAUCAGAGGGGAUGAUUAAUGAAACAGGCAUCAUCUCUAGAGCCAUCGUCAUGCUGACACAGGGACAGCACAUCUUCCAUUGGCUUGCCCUGCAAAAGUUAUUGUUCUGAGAACAACUGCUAGGUUCAUUCAUAGAAAUGAAGUAGUUACAGUCUUGGCUCGGGAGAGUCAACUAUGUAUUUGCACAUUUCAUUAUAAUGUGGUGCUGUAGUAGCCAAUCUAUAGGGUGCUACUGAAAAUUAACAGGGUCAAGAUUACACAACACUGUUAAAGUGUGGCCACAGCUACUAAACUUAUCACUUCCCAAAUGACUACAGAUAAUUUGUCUUUCAUGGUGAAGAACAAUAACAUAAAAUAGAGUAAGAUGAUAUAAAGUAAGAGAUAAGAAAAUGGAAGACAUUUCAUUGCAGCUUCUCCAGCUUGGUGGACUGAAGACACCAACUUAGAAUCACAAGCUCUUCCUGGACACUGAAAUAGUCAAUCCAAUGUGGGAGAAAGAAUUUUAGGACAUUUCUGAAACAAAGUCUGUUUGUUCAAAAGACAUAUCCUUCUUGAAAUCUAAGAUAAAGGUACAACUUUGUAGCCCUAGUCAUUUACCAUCUGGAAAGGAAAUGUCCUAGUUUACGAGACCUUGCUAAGGUCUGUAACUUAAAAUAAAAUAAAAAAAAAGGGGGUUCCUACACCAAACACAUAUUUAUGGUAGCGAAUAUGUAUGCAAUAUCCAGUGGGUAUAGACUAGCCAACUAAUCCAUUCAAGUGACGAUCUAGUGGAAUGUAUAAGAGACCAGACAAGACUGUAACUACUUCAUUUCUACAUACCUAUUACCUAGCAAAAUGUCUAAUAAAUGAUAGACCCUUAAUGUUGACUGAAGAAAUUUGAAGCAGCAAUGGGGAUCCCAGAAUGAACUUAACAGUUGUUCUCAGAACAAUAGCAAUGCAUCAUUACAGGGGAGACAUAAAACAGGCAAAAGAAAGAGAAAGAAAGAAAGAAAGAAAGAGAGAGAGAAAGAAAGAAAGGUAGGUAGGUUAAGGAAAGGAAGGAAGGAAGGUGAAGGAAAGGAAGGAAAGGAAGGUGGAAGGAAGGAAAGAAGGAAAGUAGGAAGGAAGGAAGGAAAGAACGAAGGAAGGUAGGAAGGAAGGAAGAGAGGGAAGGAGGGAGGAAGGAAGGAAGGAAGAACUUUGAACUUUCUUUUAGAAACUCAGUUUCUAAGGCUUGAGGGUUCACAGGGAAUUUUUAGGAGUACAAUUAUAGGAGGACAAUUAUUAGGAGUAAAAUAUAGAAUACCCAUUUACAAGUUCCACCAAAAGAAAAGCUUGCACAAUUUUUGAUAACAAUAAGUGGCCAAGUGCAGUAGCUCAUGCCUGCAAACCCAGCGCUUUGAGAGGCUAAGGCAGGAAGAUGGCCUGAGGCCAGGAGUUUGAAAACAGCCUAGGCAACAUAGCGAGAUCCCUAUUUUAAGAGAAAAGAAAGGAAAAGAAAAGAAAGGAAAAGAAAAGAAAAGAAAAGAAAAGAAAAGAAAAGAACAGGACAGGAGAGGAGGGGAGGGGAGGGAAGGGAAGGGAAGGGGAGAGAAAGGGAAGGGAAGAUAAGAAAAGAAAAGGAAAGAAAACAAAAGGAAAGAUAAGAAAAGAAAAGAAAAAGCUAGUCAUGGUGGCACAAGCCUAUAGUCCUAGCUACUUAGAAGGCUAAAGCUGGAGGAUUGCUUGAGCACAGGAGUUCCAGGUCACAGUAAGCCAGUAUACUCUAGCCUAGAUGACAGUGUGAGAUCCUGUCUAAAAAAAAAAAAAAAAAAAAAAGUAAGUGUGAUAAUUAUUAUGUGACUGUGAUAAAGAAGAAAAAAAUGAUUAUUGAGUGGUGGUGUUAAUUUUUAGUAAAUAAUGGUUAGCUCCAUUCUUCAUCACAAUGACUAAAAAGAAAAAUGAAGCAAUGGUUGAAAACAUCAAGCUUUUCCAAGCCAUUUUCCCUUCUUCAAUAGCUAAAAGAAACUCAGAAGCAGUUUUUUUGGGGGCAAUUGAGAGGAGAGGAUGUCGUCUAAUGGGAACCCAGGCUUCAAGAAGAAAUCUUAACUACUUUUCUGAUUUUGAGACUCCAAUAAAUUGCUGAAUCUUUCCAUUCUUCUAUAUUCUCCUAUGUACAGUAGGCAUUAAUAGCCUCUCUAAAGCAUCUUCCUGAGGAUUAAAUGAAAUAACAUGUUUAAUACUCCUGACACAUAGUUGGACCCACUAAAUAGUAGCUAUGUUUUUAAAAUGUUUCUUCAUACUUAAUCUGUGAUUAAAUCAAACUCACAUGCGUGUAGGACUGUAUUUGUCCAUCUAAACUGAAGGUUCUUUGUGUAAUCAUUGCAAAAUGGAGUUAACUGCAAGGGUUUUUAAAGGGGUGUGUGCUAGGUUGGGGAGUGGUGAGUGGACCUGUGUGCCUGUUUAUAUUCAUUCCAAACACCCAAUACUCAUUUAUUCAUUCACUCAUUUUAUAAGUAAUAACAAUAACAUUAAAACCUAAGGUGUAAGGCCAUUGACCUGCUUAUAGCUCUCCAACAGUCCCACUUUCCUAUGGAUGGCUCCAAUUGCACACAUCAUUUAUUUGAGCCACUUUCUUGAUACAGAAAUUAGCAAUCAGUAGUCAUGUUUGAAUGUAAGUUAAAAGAGAAAGCUGAAGAGUGAAAGAGUUUCAUACUUACUCACAGGAGAUACUGGGGAGAAAAUCCACUUUAGUUUUUCUAAUAAUAAGCAUCAGAGACAUAUGGAAGAUUGAUGAUAGUGGUAAUUUUUUUUUGCUCGUCAUAGCAAUUACAUAGAAUGUCAAGUAGACUUUUCAAUUUUGAGAGACUUUAUAAUUUUUGGUAAGAAAGAAUAUGUAAAGGAAGCUCAUCAGGAUAAUAGCAUCACUCUUAACCCUCUUAAAAUUGCAGAUAUUCCCCCCUAUAAUUGGUGGGAAAUUUACUGACCACAGAAUAGAAUUACAAAAGAAAGCUGGUCAAGAAAAUAAGCAGAAGCCAUCAGAAACAUUUAAGAUUACAUAUCAGAAAAUCUUAAGGUUUACUUGUUACAAAAUAUUUGGCUUUGCAGGAUUAAAAAGUAUUUAAGUGGGUUGUUAUGGUUAAAAUACUAUGAACUGUAGACUAAAUAAAGAAUAGCCUUGUAAUUUCAAUAUCAUCAUAUAUUUCUCACUAUGUAAUUAAUGGACAACAACAUUUAGGAAAGAUUUGAAUUUUACAGUAAAAUUUUAAAAUGUGCCUUAGUAUUAUUAAAGAAUUGUGUUUUUAUUUUUAAUUUCAACUGGUUGAUGCACUAGUGUGAAUGCUUUUUAUGAUUUUUAAAAUGAUUUUUUGCAACAUUAACUUUUAUAAUAUGAAACAUAAUUAGGACAAUGAAAUAAGAAGUGUUAUCUAUCCCAACAGAUUACAGUGAUCAUCUUCUUUGUGUUUCUCUCCCCGCCCCUCACCAUUCCUUUUUUUGUCUUGCUUUUCAUUGGGCACACAUGAAUUUUGGAGAAACCUUUCUAUAGGAUAUGUAAUUCUUUCCAACUUCUCUAAGUUUCCAAGACAUAUUCUUCUACCACUCUCAAAGAUUUUGAUUCUUAAAAGAAAUUAAAGCUAAAAUUUUUUUUAUUACACAUUAAGUUCUGGGAUACAUGUGCAGAAUGUGCAUGUUUGUUUCAUAAGUACACACGUGUCAUGGUGGUUUGCUGGACCCAUCAACCUGUCACCUACAUUAGGUAUUUCUCCUAAUGCUAUCCCUCCCCUAGCCCCCAAACCCCCAACAGGCCCUGGUGUGUGAUGCCCCCUCCUUGUGUCCAUAUGUUCUUAUUGUUCAACUCCCACUUAUGAGUGAAAACAUGCAGUGUUUGGUUUACUGUUCCUGUGUUAGUUUGCUGAGAAUGAUGGUUUCCAGCUUCAUCCAUAUCCUUGCAAAGGACAUGAACUCAUCCUAUUUUGUGGCUGCAUAGUAUUGCAUGGUGUAUAUGUGCCACUUUUCCUUAUCCAGUCUAUCAUUGAUGGACAUUUGGGUUGGUUCCAAGUCUUUGCUAUUGUGAAUAGUGCUGCAAUAAACAUACAUGUGCAUGUGUCUUUAUAGUAGAAUGAUUUAUAAUCCUUUGGGUAUAGACCCAGUAAUGGAAUUGCUGGGUCAAAUGUUAUUUCUGGUUCUAGAUCCAAAGUUUCAUUUAAUUAACAAUUACAGCAAUUUUCAAACCAAUGUAAAAUUUUCUUUGGAAUUAUUUAUUUAGAAAAAGCAACUAAUUGUUAUAUUUCUUGUAGCUAUUAUUAAUGAAACAGUAUAUUCAUUAUUUUUAUCUAUUGAGUGUCAACAUUCCAGAAAAAUAUCUUCUUUAGUCCCAAUAAAUCUGAACUGCCUUGUUUUCAAGGAUUUAUGAAUUAGUUAGACUCAAGGUAGGAUCAUCCUUUCUAGAUAUUGAUACUAGAAGAGCAUAUCAAUUAAAAAAAUUGACCAGAUUUUGGAAAGUAUGUGCUAUGAAUUGAAUUGUGUUUCUCCCAAACUCACAUGUUGAAGUCCUAUCCCCAGUGACAAUAUUUGGAGAUAGGGCUUUUAUGAGGUAAUUAAGGUUAAAUGUUGCCAGAAGGGUAGGGUCUCAAUACAAUAGGAUUGGCAGCUUUAUAAGAAUAGGAAAAGAGAGUGAUCUCUCCCUCCACAUUCACAUAUCAAGGUAACAACAUGUGAGGACACAAAGAGAAGGUGGCCAUGAGCCCUCACCCAAACCAAACCCUGCUGGACAUUGAUGUUUAACUUUCUAGCCUCCGGAACCGAGAGAAAGUAGGCUUUUAUUAUUUAAGCCAUCCAGUUUAUUGUGUUUAUUAGGGCUGUCCAAGCUGACUAAGAAAGCCAGUAUCCCUUCCAAAGCUAGAAUGCUGCACUUGGAGACACAAAUCCUGUGGUUUUGCGGCAUCUCUGCCACUCGAAAAGUUUGCAGACAUGGCCAAUUCACUUACUGGCUUUGACAAUCAAUGCCUUUCUCUGUAAAACGAGGAUGGUCAUCUUGUUAGUAAUCUUGAUGGUAAUCUUGGAUUAAAUAGGACAAUAG
rnacentral:lncRNA from 1 species